GUUAUAUGGUCAAGUGAAGAAGCGCAUACGGUGGAUGCCUUGGCAGUCAGAGGCGAUGAAAGACGUGGUAGCCUGCGAUAAGCUUCGGGGAGUCGGCAAACAGACUUUGAUCCGGAGAUCUCUGAAUGGGGGAACCCACUCAGCAUAAGCUGAGUAUCUUGUACUGAAUACAUAGGUGCAAGAGGCGAACCAGGGGAACUGAAACAUCUAAGUACCCUGAGGAAAAGAAAUCAACCGAGAUUCCCUUAGUAGUGGCGAGCGAACGGGGACUAGCCCUUAAGUGGCUUUGAGAUUAGCGGAACGCUCUGGAAAGUGCGGCCAUAGUGGGUGAUAGCCCUGUACGCGAAAAUCUCUUAGUCAUGAAAUCGAGUAGGACGGAGCACGAGAAACUUUGUCUGAAUAUGGGGGACCAUCCUCCAAGGCUAAAUACUACUGACUGACCGAUAGUGAACCAGUACCGUGAGGGAAAGGCGAAAAAAAGAACCCCGGAGAGGGAGUGAAAUAGAUCCUGAAACCGUAUGCGUACAAGCAGUGGGAGCCUACUUUGUUAGGUGACUGCGUACCUUUUGUAUAAUGGGUCAGCGACUUAUAUUCAGUGGCGAGCUUAACCGAAUAGGGGAGGCGUAGCGAAAGCGAGUCUUAAUAGGGCGUUUAGUCGCUGGGUAUAGACCCGAAACCGGGCGAUCUAUCCAUGGGCAGGUUGAAGGUUAGGUAACACUGACUGGAGGACCGAACCGACUACCGUUGAAAAGUUAGCGGAUGACCUGUGGAUCGGAGUGAAAGGCUAAUCAAGCUCGGAGAUAGCUGGUUCUCCUCGAAAGCUAUUUAGGUAGCGCCUCAUGUAUCACUGUAGGGGGUAGAGCACUGUUUCGGCUAGGGGUCAUCCCGACUUACCAAACCGAUGCAAACUCCGAAUACCUACAAGUGCCGAGCAUGGGAGACACACGGCGGGUGCUAACGUCCGUCGUGAAAAGGGAAACAACCCAGACCGUCAGCUAAGGUCCCAAAGUUAUGGUUAAGUGGGAAACGAUGUGGGAAGGCUUAGACAGCUAGGAGGUUGGCUUAGAAGCAGCCACCCUUUAAAGAAAGCGUAAUAGCUCACUAGUCGAGUCGGCCUGCGCGGAAGAUGUAACGGGGCUCAAACCAUACACCGAAGCUACGGGUAUCACUUAGGUGAUGCGGUAGAGGAGCGUUCUGUAAGCCUGUGAAGGUGAGUUGAGAAGCUUGCUGGAGGUAUCAGAAGUGCGAAUGCUGACAUGAGUAACGACAAUGGGAGUGAAAAACUCCCACGCCGAAAGACCAAGGUUUCCUGCGCAACGUUAAUCGACGCAGGGUUAGUCGGUCCCUAAGGCGAGGCUGAAAAGCGUAGUCGAUGGAAAACAGGUUAAUAUUCCUGUACUUCUGGUUAUUGCGAUGGAGGGACGGAGAAGGCUAGGCCAGCUUGGCGUUGGUUGUCCAAGUUUAAGGUGGUAGGCUGAGAUCUUAGGUAAAUCCGGGAUCUUAAGGCCGAGAGCUGAUGACGAGUUGCCAUUAGGCGACGAAGUGGUUGAUGCCAUGCUCCCAAGAAAAGCUUCUAAGCUUCAGAUAACCAGGAACCGUACCCCAAACCGACACAGGUGGUUGGGUAGAGAAUACCAAGGCGCUUGAGAGAACUCGGGUGAAGGAACUAGGCAAAAUGGCACCGUAACUUCGGGGAGAAGGUGCGCCGGUGAGGGUGAAGGACUUGCUCCGUAAGCCCAUGCCGGUCGAAGAUACCAGGCCGCUGCGACUGUUUAUUAAAAACACAGCACUCUGCAAACACGAAAGUGGACGUAUAGGGUGUGACGCCUGCCCGGUGCCGGAAGGUUAAUUGAUGGGGUUAGCUAACGCGAAGCUCUUGAUCGAAGCCCCGGUAAACGGCGGCCGUAACUAUAACGGUCCUAAGGUAGCGAAAUUCCUUGUCGGGUAAGUUCCGACCUGCACGAAUGGCGUAACGAUGGCGGCGCUGUCUCCACCCGAGACUCAGUGAAAUUGAAAUCGCUGUGAAGAUGCAGUGUAUCCGCGGCUAGACGGAAAGACCCCGUGAACCUUUACUAUAGCUUUGCACUGGACUUUGAAUUUGCUUGUGUAGGAUAGGUGGGAGGCUUUUGAAGCGUGGACGCCAGUUCGCGUGGAGCCAUCCUUGAAAUACCACCCUGGCAACUUUGAGGUUCUAACUCAGGUCCGUUAUCCGGAUCGAGGACAGUGUAUGGUGGGUAGUUUGACUGGGGCGGUCUCCUCCUAAAGAGUAACGGAGGAGUACGAAGGUGCGCUCAGACCGGUCGGAAAUCGGUCGUAGAGUAUAAAGGCAAAAGCGCGCUUGACUGCGAGACAGACACGUCGAGCAGGUACGAAAGUAGGUCUUAGUGAUCCGGUGGUUCUGUAUGGAAGGGCCAUCGCUCAACGGAUAAAAGGUACUCCGGGGAUAACAGGCUGAUACCGCCCAAGAGUUCAUAUCGACGGCGGUGUUUGGCACCUCGAUGUCGGCUCAUCACAUCCUGGGGCUGAAGCCGGUCCCAAGGGUAUGGCUGUUCGCCAUUUAAAGUGGUACGCGAGCUGGGUUUAGAACGUCGUGAGACAGUUCGGUCCCUAUCUGCCGUGGACGUUUGAGAUUUGAGAGGGGCUGCUCCUAGUACGAGAGGACCGGAGUGGACGAACCUCUGGUGUUCCGGUUGUCACGCCAGUGGCAUUGCCGGGUAGCUAUGUUCGGAAGAGAUAACCGCUGAAAGCAUCUAAGCGGGAAACUUGCCUCAAGAUGAGAUCUCACUGGAGCCUUGAGCUCCCUGAAGGGCCGUCGAAGACUACGACGUUGAUAGGUUGGGUGUGUAAGCGCUGUGAGGCGUUGAGCUAACCAAUACUAAUUGCCCGUGAGGCUUGACCAUAUAACACCCAAGCAAUU
rnacentral:rRNA from 1 species